GGAGAGGUGGCUGAGUGGUUGAAAGCGCCGGUCUUGAAAACCGGUAGGGGCUAAGAGGCCUCUCGUGGGUUCGAAUCCCACCCUCUCCGCCA
rnacentral:tRNA from 1 species